rnacentral:lncRNA from 1 species
CCUUACAAUUUCAACUCUUCCUUGGAGGAAAAUGAGAAGUGCCAGAGGCUACCUGUAUUUGAUGUCCUCCAUUUUAGCCACGUGCUUCAGGAGAGUGCCC